GAUGAACGCUGGCGGUGUGCCUAAUACAUGCAAGUCGAGCGAACAGACGAGGAGCUUACUCCUCUGACGUUAGCGGCGGACGGGUGAGUAACACGUGGAUAACCUACCUAUAAGACUGGGAUAACUUCGGGAAACCGGAGCUAAUACCGGAUAACAUGUUGAACCGCAUGGUUCAACAGUGAAAGACGGUCUUGCUGUCACUUAUAGAUGGAUCCGCGUCGCAUUAGCUAGUUGGUAAGGUAACGGCUUACCAAGGCAACGAUGCGUAGCCGACCUGAGAGGGUGAUCAGCCACACUGGAACUGAAACACGGUCCAGACUCCUACGGGAGGCAGCAGUAGGGAAUCUUCCGCAAUGGGCGAAAGCCUGACGGAGCAACGCCGCGUGAGUGAAGAAGGUCUUCGGAUCGUAAAACUCUGUUAUUAGGGAAGAACAAAUGUGUAAGUAACUAUGCACGUCUUGACGGUACCUAAUCAGAAAGCCACGGCUAACUACGUG
rnacentral:rRNA from 1 species